rnacentral:rRNA from 1 species
CACUAUCGUUAACUGAAUACAUAGGUUAACGAGGCGAACCGGGGGAACUGAAACAUCUAAGUACCCCGAGGAAAAGAAAUCAACCGAGAUUCCCCCAGUAGCGGCGAGCGAACGGGGAGCAGCCCAGAGUCUGAAUCAGCUUGUGUGUUAGUGGAACGGUCUGGAAAGUCCGACGGUACAGGGUGAUAGUCCCGUACACCAAAAUGCACAGGCUGUGAACUCGAAGAGUAGGGCGGGACACGUGGUAUCCUGUCUGAAUAUGGGGGGACCAUCCUCCAAGGCUAAAUACUCCUGACUGACCGAUAGUGAACCAGUACCGUGAGGGAAAGGCGAAAAGAACCCCGGCGAGGGGAGUGAAAAAGAACCUGAAACCGUGUACGUACAAGCAGUGGGAGCACCUUCGGGUGUGACUGCGUACCUUUUGUAUAAUGGGUCAGCGACUUAUAUUCUGUAGCAAGGUUAACCGUAUAGGGGAGCCGCAGGGAAACCGAGUCUUAACUGGGCGUUAAGUUGCAGGGUAUAGACCCGAAACCCGGUGAUCUAGCCAUGGGCAGGUUGAAGGUUGGGUAACACUAACUGGAGGACCGAACCGACUAAUGUUGAAAAAUUAGCGGAUGACUUGUGGCUGGGGGUGAAAGGCCAAUCAAACCGGGAGAUAGCUGGUUCUCCCCGAAAGCUAUUUAGGUAGCGCCUCGUGAACUCAUCUUCGGGGGUAGAGCACUGUUUCGGCUAGGGGGUCAUCCCGACUUACCAACCCGAUGCAAACUACGAAUACCGAAGAAUGUUAUCACGGGAGACACACGGCGGGUGCUAACGUCCGUCGUGAAGAGGGAAACAACCCAGACCGCCAGCUAAGGUCCCAAAGUCAUGGUUAAGUGGGAAACGAUGUGGGAAGGCACAGACAGCCAGGAUGUUGGCUUAGAAGCAGCCAUCAUUUAAAGAAAGCGUAAUAGCUCACUGGUCGAGUCGGCCUGCGCGGAAGAUGUAACGGGGCUAAACCAUGCACCGAAGCUGCGGCAGCGACACUAUGUGUUGUUGGGUAGGGGAGCGUUCUGUAAGCCUGCGAAGGUGACCUGUGAGGGUUGCUGGAGGUAUCAGAAGUGCGAAUGCUGACAUAAGUAACGAUAAAGCGGGUGAAAAGCCCGCUCGCCGGAAGACCAAGGGUUCCUGUCCAACGUUAAUCGGGGCAGGGUGAGUCGACCCCUAAGGCGAGGCCGAAAGGCGUAGUCGAUGGGAAACAGGUUAAUAUUCCUGUACUUGGUGUUACUGCGAAGGGGGGACGGAGAAGGCUAUGUUAGCCGGGCGACGGUUGUCCCGGUUUAAGCAUGUAGGCUGGUUGUCCAGGCAAAUCCGGAUAAUCAAGGCUGAGGUGUGAUGACGAGGCACUACGGUGCUGAAGUAACAAAUGCCCUGCUUCCAGGAAAAGCCUCUAAGCAUCAGGUAACAUCAAAUCGUACCCCAAACCGACACAGGUGGUCAGGUAGAGAAUACCAAGGCGCUUGAGAGAACUCGGGUGAAGGAACUAGGCAAAAUGGUGCCGUAACUUCGGGAGAAGGCACGCUGGUGUGUAGGUGAAGCCCCUGCGGGUGGAGCUGAGACCAGUCGAAGAUACCAGCUGGCUGCAACUGUUUAUUAAAAACACAGCACUGUGCAAACACGAAAGUGGACGUAUACGGUGUGACGCCUGCCCGGUGCCGGAAGGUUAAUUGAUGGGGUUAUCCGUAAGGAGAAGCUCUUGAUCGAAGCCCCGGUAAACGGCGGCCGUAACUAUAACGGUCCUAAGGUAGCGAAAUUCCUUGUCGGGUAAGUUCCGACCUGCACGAAUGGCGUAAUGAUGGCCAGGCUGUCUCCACCCGAGACUCAGUGAAAUUGAACUCGCUGUGAAGAUGCAGUGUACCCGCGGCAAGACGGAAAGACCCCGUGAACCUUUACUAUAGCUUGACACUGAACAUUGAGCCUUGAUGUGUAGGAUAGGUGGGAGGCUUUGAAGCGUGGACGCCAGUCUGCGUGGAGCCAACCUUGAAAUACCACCCUUUAAUGUUUGAUGUUCUAACGUUGGCCCCUGACCGGGGUUGCGGACAGUGUCUGGUGGGUAGUUUGACUGGGGCGGUCUCCUCCCAAAGCGUAACGGAGGAGCACGAAGGUUAGCUAAUCCUGGUCGGACAUCAGGAGGUUAGUGCAAUGGCAUAAGCUAGCUUGACUGCGAGCGUGACGGCGCGAGCAGGUGCGAAAGCAGGUCAUAGUGAUCCGGUGGUUCUGAAUGGAAGGGCCAUCGCUCAACGGAUAAAAGGUACUCCGGGGAUAACAGGCUGAUACCGCCCAAGAGUUCAUAUCGACGGCGGUGUUUGGCACCUCGAUGUCGGCUCAUCACAUCCUGGGGCUGAAGUAGGUCCCAAGGGUAUGGCUGUUCGCCAUUUAAAGUGGUACGCGAGCUGGGUUUAGAACGUCGUGAGACAGUUCGGUCCCUAUCUGCCGUGGGCGCUGGAGAAUUGAGGGGGGCUGCUCCUAGUACGAGAGGACCGGAGUGGACGCAUCACUGGUGUUCGGGUUGUCAUGCCAAUGGCACUGCCCGGUAGCUAAAUGCGGAAGAGAUAAGUGCUGAAAGCAUCUAAGCACGAAACUUGCCCCGAGAUGAGUUCUCCCUGAGACUAUAAGUCUCCUGAAGGAACGUU